UGGGGGAUAUUGCACAAUGGGGGAAACCCUGAUGCAGCAACGCCGCGUGAGUGAAGAAGUAUUUCGGUAUGUAAAGCUCUAUCAGCAGGGAAGAGAAUGACGGUACCUGACUAAGAAGCCCCGGCUAACUACGUGCCAGCAGCCGCGGUAAUACGUAGGGGGCGAGCGUUAUCCGGAUUUACUGGGUGUAAAGGGAGCGUAGACGGCUGGUCAAGUCUGAAGUGAAAGCCCGGGGCUUAACCCCGGAACGGCUUUGGAAACUGAGCAGCUAGAGUGCUGGAGAGGUAAGCGGAAUUCCUAGUGUAGCGGUGAAAUGCGUAGAUAUUAGGAGGAACACCAGUGGCGAAGGCGGCUUACUGGACAGUAACUGACGUUGAGGCUCGAAAGCGUGGGGAGCAAA
rnacentral:rRNA from 1 species